rnacentral:rRNA from 1 species
GACGAACGCUGGCGGCGUGCUUAACACAUGCAAGUCGAACGCUGAAGCUCAGCUUUUGUUGGGUGGAUGAGUGGCGAACGGGUGAGUAACACGUGAGUAACCUGCCCCCUUCUUUGGGAUAACGCCCGGAAACGGGUGCUAAUACUGGAUAUUCACUGGUCUUCGCAUGGGGGUUGGUUGUAAGGGUUUUUCUGGUGGGGGAUGGGCUCGCGGCCUAUCAGGUUGUUGGUGGGGUGAUGGCCUACCAAGGCUUUGACGGGUAGCCGGCCUGAGAGGGUGACCGGUCACAUUGGGACUGAGAUACGGCCCAGACUCGUACGGGGGGGAGCAGUGGGGAAUAAUGCACAAUGGGCGCAAGCCUGAUGCAGCGACGCCGCGUGAGGGAUGGAGGCCUUCGGGUUGUGAACCUCUUUCGCUAAUGGUCAAGCCGCAACAAUGGUUGUGGUGAGGGUAGUGGGUAAAGAAGCGCCGGCUAACUACGUG